rnacentral:misc_RNA from 1 species
CCAAUAGCGUAUAUUAAAGUUGUUGCAGUUAAAAAGCUCGUAGUUGAACUUCGGGGUUUACUUAUUGGUCAGGCUUAAUUGUCUGCACUGGUGAGAUGAAUCUCUACCUUCUGAGGAACUUUCAUGCCAUUUAUUUGGUGUGAUUGGAAAUCAGGACUGUUACUUUGAAAAAAUUAGAGUGUUUAAAGCAGGCUAACGUCUGAAUACAUUAGCAUGGAAUAAUGAAAUAGGACGGACUGAUUCUAUUUCGUUGGUUUCUAGGAUCACCGUAAUGAUUAAUAGGGAUAGUUGGGGGCAUUAGUAUUCAAUUGUCAGAGGUGAAAUUCUUGGAUUUAUUGAAGACUAACUACUGCGAAAGCAUUUGCCAAGGAUGUUUUCAUUAAUCAAGAACGAAAGUUAGGGGAUCGAAGACGAUCAGAUACCGUCGUAGUCUUAACCAUAAACUAUGCCGACUAGGGAUCGGACGAAGUUAAUUUUAUAAUGACGCGUUCGGCACCUUACG